rnacentral:lncRNA from 1 species
GCGAUUCGAUCGUCGUGGCUAUGACGAACAGUGACACAACUAUAAGUGACUAUAUAGCUUUUGUUAGUUGAGUCAAGUGAUGAAGGAUUUUCGACUUGCUGGGUGAAAGCCCCAAUCCGACCUUCAUUCGUUAGGUAUGGCAACAACAACAACCGUGCAUCAUCACCUUCUUAAAAAAAUCUUGCCUUCGAAUAUAUUUUUAAGCCUAUGCUGACAAGCCAUUCACUGUUGGUUCAUCCAUGUCAGGGGAGAACCAGGGUGCACUCUAGGGAUGAAAACCAUUGUUUGGCCUUCACGGGAUGUUUCGAUAACUUUGAUGUAUGACUAUUACCAUGUUCCUGAAGACCAUUGUCCUAUGGUGUCUUGUUUGAUGCUAUCUCUGUUAUAUAUUGUCGACGAUUUAGUUGGAUUAACUGGUAGGUUGUAAAUGUAGAAGGUCGUCCGUUGCUAGUGGUGGAUUUGUGUGUUGAAAGGUGAUUCAUUGCAUUCUCUUAGGAUUUAUGUCCCUUUUUCGGCAUCGGUGUCUUCG